GAAUCCCAUGAGGGCUUCCUCCUUGCAGACACGAGACAUCUUCAGGUGUGGGUCGUGACCUGUCCUCAGCACAGGACCUUACAAUGCCACUUAGAAAGUGCAGGGGUCUCACUGGGAGGUGGAGGUUACAUGCAGUGAGCUGAGAUCGCACCACUGCACUCCAGCCUGGGUGUCAGAGCAAGAUCCUAUCUCAGAAAAAAAAAAAAAAAAAGGCAAGUGUCUGAGACUAUGGUAGAAUCAUGGCACUGCCCCGUUUUCGUGGGCCUCUCUGCAUUUCUGUGAACACGUUGCAUCUUCCUGCCUUGAUUAGAACGCAGUCCCUUUUUUGCCGUGGCCUUUUGAUAUUUGACUUUGCACACGAUGCCCCUAAAGCUAAUAGGCACUGGCCUUUCCUUUCCAAAGGGUAGUUGGUCAAAUUAAUGAUCGCCAAAAGGCCAUAGUUAAUUUGCUCUCCUUUCUGUUUCGUUCCAUUAGUUUGCAAACCAGCAAAGUUCAAGAAAACUUCUGAGCAUAAAAGAGUAGGGAUCUCAUUAGGAAGCAGACAGGUAGUUCUAAAGUUUUUCAAACUCUGGGGCCAUAGAAAAAGGGGCAAUUGUGAGCCUCUACCAGCAAGAGAAGCCAAUUCACUAAGUGGCAACUUUGUGUUGGCAGCUGGUUACGUCCUGGCUGCAGACAGGCGCAUGGCAGGCCGGGACAGCCUGUAAGAGGAUGAACGUGUGACCCUCAGCCUGCCUCAUGGCAGCUUCCCCAUUUCAUCACCGAGGAGACUGCAGCUCAGGGAGGUUCUAGGCAAAGUCAGGAUUUGAACUCGGGUCUGAUGGGCUCGACAAGCCUGGAUCCUUGUGCCUCGACUGCACAGCCUCUCCUAGGAGCAGAAGGUAGCAAAGAAAUAGGGCUUCCUGCCAGUAUUUAACAGAGGCUUGCUAGUGAUACUUAGAAACCUUUUAGCAACGUUUUACUAUGCUAUGGUAGCAAAAGCUGGUAAACCCAGAGAUUAAAUUCCAACACACCCUCCACGCGCUUUAUACACACUCACCCUGCUGGUCCUCAGCUGCAACCUCAGCUGCUGAUGUUGUUGUACAAUAGGCCUCUCUCACCAGAAAUUGGGAGGUUCCCACAACCCCUUUCUGUACACUGGGCCAAGCACCACGCGCCCCCUCAGAUGAGGAGCUGCAGCAGAUGCAUGAUCAAACCACAGCCGCCCCAGCGAGAGAUGCUGGGCUUGCCUGGACCGGGCACUCCGAGCAGUUAGCUCUGAGCAGCAGCAAUGGUGUCUAGAAAGGCAUUUAGUCGGCCGAGCAUGAUGGCUCGCUCCUGUAAUCCCAGCACUUUGGGAGGGGCCAAGGCAGGUGGAUCAUUGGAGGUCAGGAGUUCAAGAUCAGUCUGGCCAAUAUGGCAAACCCUGUCUCUACUAAAAAUACAAACAUUAGCCAGGUGUGCUGGCGGGCACCUGUAAUCCCAGCUACUUGGGCGACUGAGGCAGGAGAAUCACUUGAGCCUGGGAGGUGGAGAUUGCAGUGAGCCAAGAUGGCACCACUGCACUCCAGUCUGGGCGACAGAGUAAGACCCUGUCUCAGAAAAAGAAAAAAAAAAAAA
ensembl:lncRNA